rnacentral:rRNA from 1 species
GAUGAACGCUGGCGGCGUGCCUAAUACAUGCAAGUCGAGCGAACAGAUAAGGAGCUUGCUCCUUUGAAGUUAGCGGCGGACGGGUGAGUAACACGUGGGUAACCUACCUAUAAGACUGGGAUAACUUCGGGAAACCGGAGCUAAUACCGGAUAACAUUUAGAACCGCAUGGUUCUAAAGUGAAAGAUGGUUUUGCUAUCACUUAUAGAUGGACCCGCGCCGUAUUAGCUAGUUGGUAAGGUAACGGCUUACCAAGGCGACGAUACGUAGCCGACCUGAGAGGGUGCUCGGCCACACUGGAACUGAGCCACGGUCCAGACUCCUACGGGAGGCAGCAGUAGGGAAUCUUCCGCAAUGGGCGAAAGCCUGACGGAGCAACGCCGCGUGAUUUAUGAAGGGUUUCGGCUCGUAAAACUCUGUUAUUAGGGAAGAACAAAUGUGUAAGUAACUGUGCACAUCUUGACGGUACCUAAUCAGAAAGCCACGGCUAACUACGUG